AGGCUUAAAACCCAACAGCUGGUAGUUCAACUUAGGUCUCCAACAUGGGCGGCAGGGGCCCAAGAUCCAUCACCUGCUGCCUCUCAGGGUUUGCAUUAGUUGGCUGCUGGAAUCCAGAAGGAGCUGGGACUCUGCUAGGCCAAAAGGCCAGCUCCACAGCAUUUUAGUUUUCAUCACUGUCAAUCUAAAACAGCAAUAUUUCUCCUCAUCUUUCUUCUGAUUUUGCACAAACCCUCUCUACUGGAAAUCAGAUAUAUGUGCAUCUCCUGAAUUAUCUUUUGGGCCUGGAAAGAAUAAACUCCAUCAACAUAGUCUACUUGAAGCAGAACAGACUUCAUCUUUGCCACGAUUGGCAAAUGGCUGCUCCCCAAGGAUUGCGAAUGAGGACGAGCACCAUGGCACGUGCUCAUGGUGUUGGCCUCAGCAGCUGGACCAGAGUGAAGCCCGGAGCCGAGCCUAGUUGGACCAUCUUCUGCUGCCUUCCCACUCACAUUAUCAGGAAGCUGGGUCAGAAGGAGAGUAGCCAGGACUUGCACCAGCAUGCUGAUGUGGGAUAGACAGAAAGAGAGCAAAUUGAGAGGAGACCCCAUUCACUAUUUCACUAAGCAUAAACCCACAUGGCUGAGGGCGAAGCUGAGAGCCACGUCUCCAACAUGGCUGACGUGAGUCGUCACUGCUAUCUUCCAGGUUCUGCAUUAGCAGAAAUUUGAAGACAGGAACUGAAGGUGGGAAACAAUUCCCGGCACCUGACGUGUGAGGCAAGUAUCUUAACCACUAGGCCAAAUGACUCUUGUGUCUCUAUUUCAUAAACUAAAGAGACUCAACUGUGCAGCCCUGGGAGAGUAGUGUGAGAGUAAAUGGAAACAGUGCAGCCUUCCAAGAGAUUCGCACCUGCCAAAUCUUACGCCCAGAACAUUUGUCCUCCUUAAUACCCCACCCCAUUUUAAGUCAACGUACUAGUAAAGCAAAGACAAGAUUUAUAUAUGUAUAUAAUAUGUAUAUAUAUAUAUGCCUUCUAGAAGUGUUAAAAUGUUUGUUAAAAUAUUUUGAAUGCAGAAAAACAAUCAUGACAUUCGAUAUAAUAUUUGGUGAGCUAUCAUAUUUCUGUUGAGGCUGUUCUUUACUUUAUGUCUUUUGAA
rnacentral:lncRNA from 1 species